rnacentral:rRNA from 1 species
AGAGUUUGAUCCUGGCUCAGAUCAACGCUGGCGCGCGCUUAACACAUGCAAGUCGCACGAGAAAGUGGAGCAAUCCAUGAGUACAGUGGCGUACGGGUGAGUAACACGUGGAUCAUCUACCUCUUGAUGGGGAAUAACCCUGGGAAACCGGGGCUAAUACCGCAUAAGCCUGAAAAGGGAAAGCAGCAAUGCGUCGAGAGAGGAGUCCGCGGCCGAUUAGCUAGUUGGUAGGGUAAAGGCCUACCAAGGCAAUGAUCGGUAGCCGGCCUGAGAGGGCACACGGCCACACUGGCACUGAAACACGGGCCAGACUCCUACGGGAGGCAGCAGUGGGGAAUCUUGCACAAUGGAGGAAACUCUGAUGCAGCGACGCCGCGUGAGCGAUGAAGCCCUUCGGGGUGUAAGGCUCUUUCGGCAGGAACGAUAAUGACGGUACCUGCAGAAGAAGCUGCGGCUAACUACGUGCCAGCAGCCGCGGUAAUACGUAGGCAGCAAGCGUUGUUCGGAAUUACUGGGCGUAAAGAGUGUGUAGGCGGUUCUCUAAGUUCCGUGUGAAAUCUCCCGGCUCAACUGGGAGGGUGCGCGGGAAACUGGAGGGCUUGAGUAUGGGAGAGGAAAGCGGAAUUCCUGGUGUAGCGGUGAAAUGCGUAGAUAUCAGGAGGAACACCUGCGGUGUAGACAGCUUUCUGGACCAUCACUGACGCUGAGACACGAAAGCGUGGGUAGCAAACAGGAUUAGAUACCCUAGUAGUCC